AUAACGGAGAGUUUGAUCCUGGCUCAGAACGAACGCUGGCGGCGCGUUUUAAGCAUGCAAGUCGAGCGGUAAGGUCCUUCGGGACCCUAGAGCGGCGGACGGGUGAGUAACACGUGGAUAAUCUGCCUUCCAGUUUGGGAUAGCACAUGGAAACAUGUGAUAAUACCGAAUGAGAUACAGCAUACAAAGGUAAGCAGUAGGAAAGCUCCUGCGGGAGCGCUGGAAGAUGAGUCCGCGGCCCAUUAGCUAGUUGGCGGGGUAAAGGCCCACCAAGGCGACGAUGGGUAGCCGGCCUGAGAGGGUGGACGGCCACAUUGGGACUGAGACACGGCCCAGACUCCUACGGGAGGCAGCAGCUAAGAAUCUUCCACAAUGGACGAAAGUCUGAUGGAGCGACGCCGCGUGAACGAUGAAGGCCGUAAGGUUGUAAAGUUCUUUUUGGAAGGAAGAAUAAGCUUGGCAGGGAAUGGCCGAGUGAUGACGUGAAUUCCAGAAUAAGCCCCGGCUAACUACGUGCCAGCAGCCGCGGUAACACGUAGGGGGCGAGCGUUGUUCGGAAUUAUUGGGCGUAAAGGGCACGCAGGCGGCUUGGCAAGUCUGAUGUAAAAAUUCAGGGCUCAACCCUGUCUGGCGUUGGAAACUGCUGAGCUUGAGUACAGGAGGGGAUAUUGGAAUUCCAGGUGUAGGGGUGAAAUCUGUAGAUAUCUGGAAGAACACCGAUGGCGAAGGCAAAUAUCUGGCCAUGUACUGACGCUGAGGUGCGAAGGUGCGGGGAGCAAACAGGUUUAGAUACCCUGGUAGUCCG
rnacentral:rRNA from 1 species